UGAAAAGAACUUUGRARAGAGAGUCAAAAAGACCGCGAAACCGUUAGGAGGGAAACGAAUGCAGCUGAAUUAGCUCUGGUCAAGUUCAGGGGCGAUGUUGAUUGGUGAUGCCCGACUGCAAGAGCCGAUAGGUUUUGCUGUCAGGAUAGCUGUCAACUCUCCUGCACUCUUGUGCAGAGCUGGCCAACAACAGUUGCCCGUGGCCGAGAAGGGCGGUUGGGAAGGUAGCUACUCUUCGGGGUAGAACUUAUAGCCAUCCGUCUGGUGGUCUGGGGGUGACUGAGGAUAACUGGCAGUGCAGGCCUUUGGCUUGGGCCGCUUCUGGUCGUUUGGGCACCGCGGGGGGGACUGCGUGCAGUGUUCUUUGACGGAUGUCUGCUCGGACGGGAGACUGGUCACACCUUGUGCUGCAGUUGUUGGUGAUCAAAUGGCUGCAUCCGACCCGUCUUGAAACACGGAA
rnacentral:rRNA from 1 species